rnacentral:rRNA from 1 species
GAUGAACGCUGGCGGCGUGCCUAAAACAUGCAAGUCGAGCGGUAAGGCCCCUUCGGGGGUACACGAGCGGCGGACGGGUGAGUAACACGUGGGAAUCUACCCCAAACUGAGGGAUAAGCACCGGAAACGGUGUCUAAUACCGCAUAUGGUCUUCGGAUUAAAGCUUCGGCGGUUUGGGAAGAGCCCGCGCAAGAUUAGCUAGUUGGUAAGGUAAUGGCUUACCAAGGCGACGAUCUUUAGCUGGUUUGAGAGGAUGAUCAGCCACACUGGAACUGAGACAAGGUCCAGACUCCUACGGGAGGCAGCAGUUAGGAAUCUUCCACAAUGGGCGAAAGCCUGAUGGAGCAACGCCGCGUGCAGGAUGAAUGCCUUCGGGUUGUAAACUGCUUUUAUGUGCGAAGAAUAUGACGGCAACACAUGAAUAAGGAUCGGCUAACUCCGUGCCAGCAGCCGCGGUAA